rnacentral:lncRNA from 1 species
AAAAGAAAAAAAAAAGAAAAGAAAAAUAGAGUUCUAUAAUAAAAUGCAUACGUUUAGAGGAUUGUGGAUAUGUUGAGGAGUUACUCUAGAGUUUUAUUGAUGGAAGGUCUGGUGUGUUGCAUGUUUUCAAUCAUAUAUUGAGCCUCUUUGAUCCCCUUUUUCUUGUUUUAUCCCACCUGUACGUACCAUAGCCCCAUUACAACCAAAGUGCAAGACCUUUUGAUUUGUGCAUUGGUUCCAUAUUUUGGUGGAGAUAGUGACAUAACGGCAAGCUAUGUUUGAAGGCAUAAAGUUGUGAAUUGUGUGAAUCUAUUCUGUCCAUAUUUGUCUUUUGAGAGAAAUUGAGUGAACUUGGUGAGACAGGAUUGAAUUUGCACAAUUUUGACUUGAAUGAAGAACAUGGCAUAAUUUUCUGAGCAAGAGCAUAGUUAGUGGUUUGUGAAUGAUUGUAUCUUGAUCAAGACUUUGAGUAUUAUCUAUCAUAUUGUUGCCAAAGCUUUGUUUUUGCUGUUUUGAGUCUUCUUUUGUUCAUUCCCUGUCGUUUUGUUCUUUUUGGUGCUCGAGGGCGAGCUUUGUUUAAGUGUGGGGG